rnacentral:rRNA from 1 species
GAUGAACGCUGGCGGCGUGCCUAAUACAUGCAAGUCGAGCGAACAGAUGAGGAGCUUGCUCCUCUGACGUUAGCGGCGGACGGGUGAGUAACACGUGGAUAACCUACCUAUAAGACUGGGAUAACUUCGGGAAACCGGAGCUAAUACCGGAUAAUAUAUUGAACCGCAUGGUUCAAUAGUGAAAGACGGUUUUGCUGUCACUUAUAGAUGGAUCCGCGCCGCAUUAGCUAGUUGGUAAGGUAACGGCUUACCAAGGCAACGAUGCGUAGCCGACCUGAGAGGGUGAUCGGCCACACUGGAACUGAGACACGGUCCAGACUCCUACGGGGGGCAGCAGUAGGGAAUCUUCCGCAAUGGGCGAAAGCCUGACGGAGCAACGCCGCGUGAGUGAUGAAGGUCUUCGGAUCGUAAAACUCUGUUAUUAGGGAAGAACAAAUGUGUAAGUAACUAUGCACGUCUUGACGGUACCUAAGCAGAAAGCCACGGCUAACUACGU